ACGGAGGGUGCAAGCGUUAUCCGGAUUCACUGGGUUUAAAGGGAGCGUAGGUGGGCUUUUAAGUCAGUGGUGAAAUCUCUGGGCUUAACCCGGAAACUGCCAUUGAUACUAUUAGUCUCGAAUUCUCUGGAGGUAAGCGGAAUAUGUCAUGUAGCGGUGAAAUGCUUAGAUAUGACAUAGAACACCCAUUGCGAAGGCAGCUGGCUACACGAAUAUUGACACUGAGGCACGAAAGCGUGGGGAUCAAACAGGA
rnacentral:rRNA from 1 species